UUAGAUAUAGAUAUAGAUAUAUAGAUACUGAUAGAGAUAUAGAUAUACGUAAAUGCUGAAAACGAAAGUAAGCAGAGGUCAAAUAGAUUGUAUCGUGUGAAUCUUGGUCCCACCUUUUCUUUUCUUCCUCCCUUUCGUAUUUACAUUUCCUUCAAAAGCAGCUUUACUCCAUUAAUUUCCAUCUCUACUGAGUCCUUUGGAACUAGUUCAACGGGAUUAAUUAAUUAAUUGUAUAUUUAU
rnacentral:lncRNA from 1 species